UAGAGUUUGAUUAUGGCUCAGGAUGAACGCUGGCGGUAUGCUUAACACAUGCAAGUCGAACGCACCUUUCGGGGUGAGUGGCAGACGGGUGAGUAACGCGUGGGAACCUUCCCUGUGGUACGGAAUAACUCCGGGAAACCGGUGCUAAUACCGUAUACGCCCUUCGGGGGAAAGAUUUAUCGCCAUAGGAUGGGCCCGCGUCGGAUUAGCUAGUUGGUGAGGUAAUGGCUCACCAAGGCUUCGAUCCGUAGCUGGUCUGAGAGGAUGAUCAGCCACACUGGGACUAAGACACGGCCCAGACUCCUACGGGAGGCAGCAGUAGGGAAUAUUGGACAAUGGGCGAAAGCCUGAUCCAGCCAUGCCGCGUGAGUGAAGAAGGCCUUAGGGUUGUAAAGCUCUUUUGGCGGGGAAGAUAAUGACGGUACCCGCAGAAUAAGCUCCGGCUAACUCCGUGCCAGCAGCCGCGGUAAU
rnacentral:rRNA from 1 species